ensembl:lncRNA
GUUUCUGACAUUGCCCUCAAAUAAUUUGAGUUUUAACACUGACGUCACUUACGUGCCUACGUACGUACGUACGUGCGCCACCUGUUUCUUUAUGAAGUGCUGGCAACCAUCUUGGAUUCCUCGCUUCGAGUGCGAAUGCCCGCUUGUUACUCCGAAAGAAACUUGUGGAAAGUUAAUAUCCGAACAGAAAUAAAAACAUUUGUGAAGGAUUUUUUUUGCUGCAUUGCCUUUGACGCUGGAUAAAGGAGGACGUGCUGUGGUAUGUUACGGACUUUUGAACUGGAACAGCUAACGCUCUGCACUUGGCUACUGCUGCAUUUACCGCCUAUGCAGCAAAUUUGUCUUCAGGAGCGCUUUUGUGUCUGUCUUGUCUUCUGUGUUUUACUGUUAUGUCCAUGCCAGGGCAGAAGUAAAUUUUCAGGGGUGAAGAUGCUGUUCACCUUGACCAGCUAAGACUACAGAUUGUAGAUGAAGUCGAGAAAAGUGAAAAGAAUCCUGUCCUGAUUACAAAGCUGAUGCACACAACUUUGGCCUUGCGAUGCAAAGAGAUCAUCAAUGAUGACCUACCAGUAGGUCAGAUCCGGGAUUGCUGGCCUACUCUGAAAUUCCAGUCCCAGAUCUGUGCAGAAUUCCACAGGAUUACAAACCUCCACCUGAAGAACCACUUUUAUGCUGUGUUGGACCAACAUGCUCCCCUGCUCCAGAGCUUAUUCAGAAGGAAAGCUGUUU